AUUGAACGCUGGCGGCAUGCCUUACACAUGCAAGUCGAACGGCAGCACGGGUGCUUGCACCUGGUGGCGAGUGGCGAACGGGUGAGUAAUACAUCGGAACAUGUCCUGUAGUUGGGGAUAGCCCGGCGAAAGCCGGAUUAAUACCGCAUACGAUCCACGGAUGAAAGCGGGGGACCUGCGGGCCUCGCGCUAUAGGGUUGGCCGAUGGCUGAUUAGCUAGUUGGUGGGGUAAAGGCCUACCAAGGCGACGAUCAGUAGCGGGUCUGAGAGGACGACCAGCCACCCUGGGACUGAGACACGGCCCAGACUCCUACGGGAGGCAGCAGUGGGGAAUUUUGGACAAUGGGCGAAAGCCUGAUCCAGCAAUGCCGCGUGUGUGAAGAAGGCCUUCGGGUUGUAAAGCACUUUUGUCCGGAAAGAAAUCCUUGACUCUAAUACAGUCGGGGGAUGACGGUACCGGAAGAAUAAGCACCGGCUAACUACGUG
rnacentral:rRNA from 1 species